UUAUUUUUACUUUAAUACUGGAUAUUAGUUCAUAGUUUAAUGUUUUUACAUUAAAUCCAUUAUAUAAUAUGAAUGGAAAUUUAACUAGUUGAAUAUAACCGUACAGUGGUGUUAUGGACUUGAGGUUCUUCUAAAUGGUCUUUAGCCAGUUACAGACACUGGCUGUAGACAUGACUUUAACAUGACAACAAACAAGUUUAAUUAAAUUACUCGCAGAUUGAAUAGGGACAGCUGAUUUGAUUGAUUUUAGGAGUAGGUGCUAUUUGGAUCUGACAGUAAUGAAGCACAAAGCAGGUGAUGCAGUACAGUAGUAAGCAUAAUAUUGGCAGUAAGUAGUAAGCAGGUAAGUGGACAAGCAAAAGUUGACAAACAUCUUUGUCAUGAUACAGUUUCUGUUAGCCUCAGUAGAGUUGAGCCUGGCAGCGCUGAAGGCUGAUUCCAGGACGUCACAAACCCAGCCAAAGAUCCGAGACUCCAAAAUACAGGAAAGCACAAACACAACAGCUUGUCAACAGCCCCCCUGAAGGCCAGUGGUAACUGACACAGACUGAAGAGUCAGAUGGCUGCCUGCAUAUAUACUCACAUAGUUUCUCUGCAAAAACACACUGGCAUUUCUUGCACCCCUCUGGGAUAAUGAAAUCAGUGGCAUAAACCAGGUCCAGGCCAGUCAGGAAAAGCCAAAACUUGUCCUCCCACUUUAUAACAUUGCUGUAGUCCAGGAACGCCUCCUUGACCAACUGGCUCAUGUCAGAGGCUUACACUUCCAAGCAGGCAGACUAGCAGAAAGGCUGGCCCUGAAGAUGUCCAUGAACUGUCUCAUCCAAACAACACUCCAAGACUCCUUCUAAGAGCAGCAGAGUCUGUCACUGUGACGGCAACGUCCAACUGUCUUACUCUAACGCCAGACUCCAGUGAGAGAAGCAGGCAUAUCAACCUCGACAUCCAUGAUGUCUGUCAACGCGCACAUGUCUGUAAGUGAUCUGUAUCUUAGUUCCCCAACUGAGCUGUACUAAGCCAUGAAUAACAGCAAGUUAAGGACACAACACGAAAGAAAGAAAACACAUAAUUGGACAAUAAAAAAAGAACACAGCUUCCACCAAUUUAACUGAGUAUAUUGUGUUUGCCAAACUGGGCUGAUUUAAUAAAAAUCCACAGGACAUAAAGAUGCAUUAGCAUGUCAGCCAGCAAAAGGUUUCUUUAUUUUUCUUUGCACAUGCCAAAGUGGAAGCCUGGCAAUCAAACAGCCUCCACAGCUAAUUAUUAUGUUAUUAUAGUAGUAUUAUAGAUAGAUUAAAACACAAACAAAAACAAGCCUUUGCAGCAUACUAGAAAGUGUUCUUCAGUUUAAAGUGUUCUUCUUCACUACAGGCAAUAAAAAGAUUCCCCUCCACACCAAACCUGCAAUAUCCUGAGAGAGAGUACAGCCGAGAGAACAUCGGAGAACAAGAGCACAGCAAAUCAACCUGCUGACACCGAAUCCAUGACUUCUGUGAAGACUGCCCAAGGAGCCAGCAGAGGGAGAAACAAACAUCAGCCAGUGUUUCACAUCUGCAGAGAAUCGAAAAUACACAGAGGCUACAGAUUCAGACCCAUUGAAAAAGCAGCACAGGAUCACAGAGAGGAUACUUUGCAGAGUUUGCUCUUACAGGGCUAACUGGAGCUUGUUCAGAAAGUUGAACUGAAGUUCGAUCGAACUGUGGAACAUGUUAGGGUCCAGGCCUGACACACAGAGUGGCAGAUUAAGAAGCAGUUUAAGAAGCUUCAACAGUUUCUAGAUGAGGAAGGUCAGAUUGACUGCCUAGAGGGAGGAAGAGGAACAGAAGAGUCAUAUGAUGAAUGCUCUAAGAAGUUGGAUAUCCGCUCUGUCAGACAAAGUCAGAGCCACAGCAGAAGAGCUGAAGACAUCUCAUUUCUGCACAAGGCAGCAGUGAUCCCUGCAUCCACAGUCACUCUGAGGAGCUCUGACAGAUGUGGCCAAACACCUGGAAAGUCUGACCUUCAACAUCUGGGACAAGAUGAAGGAGAUGGCAUCCUAUAAUUUGGGAACUAAACACUCCAGGGACUUUCACUCAGGAGCUCACAGCUGGGAUGUGAUGAUGGAGACAAUAUUUUCACAGGAAGGGACUCAUACAGACUGGAUUAUGGAGAAUACAGUCCAGUAACUAUGUUGCAUCAAAAAUAUGUAUUGGGACAAAUAUGCAGGUACAAUGGCAGACAAGAUUAAGGAAGGAGUAAUGAGAUAACAGCUUGGUGUUAAGGAGGCACAUUAAAAUAAAUUACACUGUGGGCUUUUUAAUAAUCACAGGGUGCUUUAAUAUUUUUUACUAGGUAAUAAGAAAGGAAAAUUAUUAAAAUGGCAUAUCAGUAUUGAUACUCAAAUUAUUUCAAAAUGAUGAUAUACCUAAUGAAUCCAGUUUGGGAAAUUACAGUGUAAAACAUUUGUAAUUAUGGAGUGAUAUUAAAUGCUGACAUAGUGUACAUUAUUGUUGUUGCUGGGGAACAAAACCUUUUAUAGAUUAUUAUAAAAAAACUAAUUAAGACAUGUAGUUUUGUGGCCCAGUGGAAGCUCUAUCUGAUGAUCAACAUUGAGUUUUUAUGUCCUGUCCCUUAUCAAAUUAAAGUAAUUAAAAAAGGCAUAUACAUAUAUUCUCUAACUUCACUGAGGUUUAUUGAACGUCACAUAAUAUAAAGAAAAGAGUGGUGAGCUAUUCAUCACUUACAAAUGGCAUGUUAAUUUUAUCUAUGCUUCUGCCAACUUUUUUUGGCAUGCAUGAGUAGCUGAGGUACUGGAUGUUACCUUUUAGUGACACUACACAGAUGUAAUGUUGGAUACAGUUUCUUAUUACAGUCUAAUCAUGUAAAGUAAAUCAUUUGCUUGUUAGUGUAAGCAGUGCAGUCCAUCUCUAUGUAGGAAACAGGAUGUGUCUUUAUCAGCUUGAAAACAGAUGUCAAAGUGUGAACAGUAGUAGAUCUGUUCGCUUAGAUAUGUGGCUCUCAACUGAGAUCAGAAGCAUCUGAAUAAAUAUAACUCUCCCACA